ACUUUCAACAACGGAUCUCUUGGUUCUGGCAUCGAUGAAGAACGCAGCAAAAUGCGAUAAGUAAUGUGAAUUGCAGAAUUCAGUGAAUCAUCGAAUCUUUGAACGCACAUUGCGCCCGCCAGUAUUCUGGCGGGCAUGCCUGUUCGAGCGUCAUUUCAACCCUCAAGCUCAGCUUGGUGUUGGGACUCGCGGUAACCCGCGUUCCCCA
rnacentral:rRNA from 5 species